rnacentral:rRNA from 1 species
UACAGAGGGGGCAAGCGUUGUUCGGAAUUACUGGGCGUAAAGGGCGCGUAGGCGGCCUUCUAAGUCGAACGUGAAAUCCCCGGGCUCAACCCGGGAACUGCGUCUGAUACUGGAUGGCUUGAAUCCGGGAGAGGGAUGCAGAAUUCCAGGUGUAGCGGUGAAAUGCGUAGAUAUCUGGAGGAAUACCGGUGGCGAAGGCGGCAUCCUGGACCGGCAUUGACGCUGAGGAGCGAAAGCCAGGGGAGCAAACGGG